rnacentral:rRNA from 1 species
GACGAACGCUGGCGGCGUGCUUAACACAUGCAAGUCGAACGGAAAGGCCCUGCUUUUGUGGGGUGCUCGAGUGGCGAACGGGUGAGUAACACGUGAGUAACCUGCCCUUGACUUUGGGAUAACUUCAGGAAACUGGGGCUAAUACCGGAUAGGAGCUCCUGCUGCAUGGUGGGGGUUGGAAAGUUUCGGCGGUUGGGGAUGGACUCGCGGCUUAUCAGCUUGUUGGUGGGGUAGUGGCUGACCAAGGCUUUGACGGGUAGCCGGCCUGAGAGGGUGACCGGCCACAUGGGGACUGAGAUACGGCCCAGACUCCUACGGGAGGCAGCAGUGGGGAGUAUUGCCCAAUGGGCGGAAGCCUGAUGCAGCAGCGCCGCGUGCGGGAUGACGGCUUUCGGGUUGUGAACCGCUUUCGCCUGUGACGAAGCGUGAGUGACGGUAAUGGGUAAAGAAGCACCGGCUAACUACGUG